AAAUCGGGAAACAAGCCCUUUUGCAAUGUUUUGCAUCAAAACCAUGCCUUGUAUCUUUGUGUGACGUGCGUAGUUAAUUGCACUUGAUAAAUGGCUUAAAUGCAAACUCUUACAAGUCGGGUUUAGUCCAAACUUUAUGCAAAUGUUUACACCAUGCAUGUCACGACCCGGUACUCCUUUCGAGCCCUUGACAACCGUCGCGAUGUCCCGGUGAACACUCAUU
rnacentral:lncRNA from 1 species